rnacentral:rRNA from 1 species
UAGGGAAUCUUCGGCAAUGGGGGGAACCCUGACCGAGCAACGCCGCGUGAGUGAAGAAGGUUUUCGGAUCGUAAAGCUCUGUUGUUAAGGAAGAACGAGUGUGAGAAUGGAAAGUUCAUACUGUGACGGUACUUAACCAGAAAGGGACGGCUAACUACGUGCCAGCAGCCGCGGUAAUACGUAGGUCCCGAGCGUUGUCCGGAUUUAUUGGGCGUAAAGCGAGCGCAGGCGGUUAGAUAAGUCUGAAGUUAAAGGCAGUGGCUCAACCAUUGUAGGCUUUGGAAACUGGUUAACUUGAGUGCAGAAGGGGAGAGUGGAAUUCCAUGUGUAGCGGUGAAAUGCGUAGAUAUAUGGAGGAACACCGGUGGCGAAAGCGGCUCGCUGGGCUGUAACUGACGCGGAGGCUCGAAAGCGUGGGGAGCGAACAGG